rnacentral:misc_RNA from 1 species
GAUGAAGAACGUAGCGAAAUGCGAUACGUAACGUGAAUUGCAAAUUCAGUGAAUCAUCGAGUCUUUGAACGCACAUUGCGCCCCCUGGUAUUCCGGGGGGCAUGCCUGUCCGAGCGUCAUUGCUGCCCUCAAGCACGGCUUGUGUGUUGGGCCCCGUCCUCCGAUCCCGGGGGACGGGCCCGAAAGGCAGCGGCGGCACCGCGUCCGGUCCUCGAGCGUAUGGGGCUUUGUCACCCGCUCUGUAGGCCCGGCCGGCGCUUGCCGAUCAACCCAAAUUUUUUAUCCAGGUUGACCUCGGAUCAGGUAGGGAUACCCGCUGAACUUAAGCAUAUCAAUAAGCGGAGGA